rnacentral:lncRNA from 1 species
CAGAAGUCAGGUCGGAUUAAGCCAUAGUACGGAAAGAACUAUGCUACCUGUGAGCCCCGUCCAAGGACGUUAAAAGAAGUCAGGCCACUAUAAGUGCCAUAGCUUGAGUAAACUAUGCAGCCUGUAGCUCCACCUGAGAAGGUGUAAAAAAUCUGGGAGGCCACAAACCAUGGAAGCUGUACGCAUGGCGUAGUGGACUAGUGGUUAGAGGAGACCCCUCCCUCACAAAUCGCAGCAACAAUGGGGGCCCAAGGUGAGAUGAAGCUGUAGUCUCACUGAAAGGACUAGAGGUUAGAGGAGACCCCCCCGAAACAAAAAACAGCA